rnacentral:tRNA from 1 species
GUGGCCAUAGCUCAGUAGGUAGAGCAUCUGGUUGUGGUCCAGAAGGUCGCGGGUUCAAGCCCCGUUGGCCACCCCA